UGCUCUCUUGGUGGAAUAGGUAGACACAGUAGACUUAAAAUCUAUAAAUUAUCGGUUCAAGUCCGAUAGAGAGUA
rnacentral:tRNA from 1 species